GUUAUAUGGUCAAGUGAAGAAGCGCAUACGGUGGAUGCUUGGCAGUCAGAGGCGAUGAAAGACGUGGUAGCCUGCGAAAAGCUUCGGGGAGUCGGCAAACAGACUGUGAUCCGGAGAUGUCUGAAUGGGGGAACCCAGCCAUCACAAGAUGGUUAUCUUACACUGAAUACAUAGGUGUAAGAGGCGAACCAGGGGAACUGAAACAUCUAAGUACCCUGAGGAAAAGAAAUCAACCGAGAUUCCCUUAGUAGUGGCGAGCGAACGGGGACCAGCCCUUAAGUUGUAUUGAGAUUAGCGGAACGCUCUGGAAAGUGCGGCCAUAGUGGGUGAUAGCCCUGUACGCGAAAAUCCCUUUGCAAUGAAAUCGAGUAGGACGGGGCACGAGAAACCUUGUCUGAAUAUGGGGGGACCAUCCUCCAAGGCUAAAUACUACUGACUGACCGAUAGUGAACCAGUACCGUGAGGGAAAGGCGAAAAGAACCGCGGAGAGCGGAGUGAAAUAGAUCCUGAAACCGUAUGCGUACAAGCAGUGGGAGCCCACUUUGUUGGGUGACUGCGUACCUUUUGUAUAAUGGGUCAGCGACUUAUUUUCAGUGGCGAGCUUAACCGAAUAGGGGAGGCGUAGCGAAAGCGAGUCUUAAUAGGGCGUCUAGUCGCUGGGAAUAGACCCGAAACCGGGCGAUCUAUCCAUGGGCAGGUUGAAGGUUGGGUAACACUAACUGGAGGACCGAACCGACUACCGUUGAAAAGUUAGCGGAUGACCUGUGGAUCGGAGUGAAAGGCUAAUCAAGCUCGGAGAUAGCUGGUUCUCCUCGAAAGCUAUUUAGGUAGCGCCUCAUGUAUCACUGUAGGGGGUAGAGCACUGUUUCGGCUAGGGGGUCAUCCCGACUUACCAAACCGAUGCAAACUCCGAAUACCUACAAGUGCCGAGCAUGGGAGACACACGGCGGGUGCUAACGUCCGUCGUGAAAAGGGAAACAACCCAGACCGUCAGCUAAGGUCCCAAAGUCAUGGUUAAGUGGGAAACGAUGUGGGAAGGCUUAGACAGCUAGGAGGUUGGCUUAGAAGCAGCCACCCUUUAAAGAAAGCGUAAUAGCUCACUAGUCGAGUCGGCCUGCGCGGAAGAUGUAACGGGGCUCAAACCAUGCACCGAAGCUACGGGUAUCACCUUUGGUGAUGCGGUAGAGGAGCGUUCUGUAAGCCUGUGAAGGUGAGUUGAGAAGCUUGCUGGAGGUAUCAGAAGUGCGAAUGCUGACAUGAGUAACGACAAUGGGUGUGAAAAACACCCACGCCGAAAGACCAAGGUUUCCUGCGCAACGUUAAUCGACGCAGGGUUAGUCGGUCCCUAAGGCGAGGCUGAAAAGCGUAGUCGAUGGAAAACAGGUUAAUAUUCCUGUACUUCUGGUUAUUGCGAUGGAGGGACGGAGAAGGCUAGGCCAGCCUGGCGUUGGUAGUCCAGGUUUAAGGUGGUAGGCUGAGAUCUUAGGUAAAUCCGGGAUCUUAAGGCCGAGAGCUGAUGACGAGUGUUCUUUUAGAACAUGAAGUGGUUGAUGCCAUGCUUCCAAGAAAAGCUUCUAAGCUUCAGGUAACCAGGAACCGUACCCCAAACCGACACAGGUGGUUGGGUAGAGAAUACCAAGGCGCUUGAGAGAACUCGGGUGAAGGAACUAGGCAAAAUGGCACCGUAACUUCGGGAGAAGGUGCGCCGGUGAGGGUGAAGCAUUUACUGCGUAAGCCCACGCCGGUCGAAGAUACCAGGCCGCUGCGACUGUUUAUUAAAAACACAGCACUCUGCAAACACGAAAGUGGACGUAUAGGGUGUGACGCCUGCCCGGUGCCGGAAGGUUAAUUGAUGGGGUUAGCGCAAGCGAAGCUCUUGAUCGAAGCCCCGGUAAACGGCGGCCGUAACUAUAACGGUCCUAAGGUAGCGAAAUUCCUUGUCGGGUAAGUUCCGACCUGCACGAAUGGCGUAACGAUGGCGGCGCUGUCUCCACCCGAGACUCAGUGAAAUUGAAAUCGCUGUGAAGAUGCAGUGUAUCCGCGGCUAGACGGAAAGACCCCGUGAACCUUUACUAUAGCUUUGCACUGGACUUUGAAUUUGCUUGUGUAGGAUAGGUGGGAGGCUUUGAAGCGUGGACGCCAGUCUGCGUGGAGCCAACCUUGAAAUACCACCCUGGCAACUUUGAGGUUCUAACUCAGGUCCGUUAUCCGGAUCGAGGACAGUGUAUGGUGGGUAGUUUGACUGGGGCGGUCUCCUCCUAAAGAGUAACGGAGGAGUACGAAGGUGCGCUCAGACCGGUCGGAAAUCGGUCGUAGAGUAUAAAGGCAAAAGCGCGCUUGACUGCGAGACAGACACGUCGAGCAGGUACGAAAGUAGGUCUUAGUGAUCCGGUGGUUCUGUAUGGAAGGGCCAUCGCUCAACGGAUAAAAGGUACUCCGGGGAUAACAGGCUGAUACCGCCCAAGAGUUCAUAUCGACGGCGGUGUUUGGCACCUCGAUGUCGGCUCAUCACAUCCUGGGGCUGAAGCCGGUCCCAAGGGUAUGGCUGUUCGCCAUUUAAAGUGGUACGCGAGCUGGGUUUAGAACGUCGUGAGACAGUUCGGUCCCUAUCUGCCGUGGACGUUUGAGAUUUGAGAGGGGCUGCUCCUAGUACGAGAGGACCGGAGUGGACGAACCUCUGGUGUUCCGGUUGUCACGCCAGUGGCAUUGCCGGGUAGCUAUGUUCGGAAAAGAUAACCGCUGAAAGCAUCUAAGCGGGAAACUUGCCUCAAGAUGAGAUCUCACUGGAACCUUGAGUUCCCUGAAGGGCCGUCGAAGACUACGACGUUGAUAGGUUGGGUGUGUAAGCGCUGUGAGGCGUUGAGCUAACCAAUACUAAUUGCCCGUGAGGCUUGACCAUAUAACACCCAAGCAAUU
rnacentral:rRNA from 1 species